rnacentral:rRNA from 1 species
UACAGAGGUGGCAAGCGUUGUUCGGAAUUACUGGGCGUAAAGGGCGCGUAGGCGGUCUUGUAAGUCUCGUGUGAAAUCCCUCGGCUUAACUGAGGAACUGCACGGGAUACUGCAUGACUUGAGGUCGGGAGAGGGAAGCGGAAUUCCGGGUGUAGCGGUGAAAUGCGUAGAUAUCUGGAGGAACACCGGUGGCGAAGGCGGCAUCCUGGACCGGCAUUGACGCUGAGGCGCGAAAGCCAGGGGAGCAAACGGG